rnacentral:rRNA from 1 species
UAGUCCACGCCGUAAACGAUGAAUACUAGAUGUAGCGGGUAUCGACCCCUGCUGUGUCGUAGCUAACGCGUUAAGUGAUCCGCCUGGGGAGUACGGUCGCAAGACUAAAACUUAAAGGAAUUGACGGGGGUCCGCACAAGCGGUGGAACAUGUGGUUUAAUUCGACACUACGCGAGGAACCUUACCUAGGUUUGACAUGCAUUUGAUCGCCGUAGAAAUACGGUUUUCUGGACGUUGUUCGGACAGAUGCACAGGUGCUGCAUGGCUGUCGUCAGCUCGUGUCGUGAGAUGUUAGGUUAAGUCCUCUAACGAGCGCAACUCCUACCAUCAGUUGCUACUUGCGUGAGCAAGGCACUCUGGUGGAAACUGCCUGGGAAACCAGGAGGAAGGUGGGAAUGACGUCAAGUCAGCAUGGUCCUUAUGCCUAGGGCUACACACGUGUUACAAUGGCCAGUAUAGCGAGCUGCAAGCCCGCGAGGGUAAGCGAAUCUCU